AGCAGGUUGCUGGUCGGCUCGGGCUCGAUGCUGAAGGCGUCGAGGGGGUUGCGGAUGCUCCCGACCUGGGCCGCGGCCUGGAUUCGCUCCC
rnacentral:tRNA from 1 species